GGACGGGAUUGAGGAGCUUGCUCUUCAUGAGAGUGGCGCACGGGUGCGUAACACGUAUGUAACCUACCCAUAUCAGGGGGAUAGCCUCUCGAAAGAGAGAUUAAGCCCGCAUAAAAUCACACUAUGGCAUCAUAGAAUGAUCAAAUAUUUAUAGGAUAUGGAUGGGCAUGCGGAACAUUAGCUAGUUGGUAAGGUAACGGCCUACCAAGCCUUUGAUCCGUAGCUGGUCUGAGAGGAUGAUCAGCCACACUGGGACUGAGACACGGCCCAGACUCCUACGGGAGGCAGCAGUGGGGAAUAUUGGACAAUGGGCGCAAGCCUGAUCCAGCAAUGCCGCGUGAGUGAUGAAGGCCUUCGGGUUGUAA
rnacentral:rRNA from 1 species